rnacentral:rRNA from 1 species
GAGUUUGAUCUUGGCUCAGGAUGAACGCUAGCGGCAGGCCUAAUACAUGCAAGACGAGCGGUAAAUGAUUCAGCAAUGGAUUAUGAGAGCGUCGUAAGGGUGCGUAACACGUAUGCAAUCUGCCCGGAACUGGAGGAUAGCUCGCCGAAAGGCGAAUUAACACUCCAUAGGGUCGUAGGGUGGCAUCACCUAGCGACUAAAACUACGGUGGUUUCGGAUGAGCAUGCGGAUGAUUAGCUAGUUGGUGAGGUAACGGCUCACCAAGGCGAUGAUCAAUAGGGGAACUGAGAGGUUGAUCCCCCACACUGGCACUGAGAUACGGGCCAGACUCCUACGGGAGCAGCAGUAGGGAAUAUUGGACAAUGGUUGCAAGACUGAUCCAGCCAUGCCGCGUGCAGGAAGAAGGCUUUCUGAGUUGUAAACUGCUUUUGCCAGGGGAUAAAAAGUCCCUGCGGGGAAAAUUGAAGGUACCUGGUGAAUAAGCCACGGCUAACUACGUGCC